rnacentral:lncRNA from 1 species
UGCAGCUUCUUGGAAGACAAUGAAAAAAUAAACAAAUUUUUAAAUAAAGUUACAUUAUUUGGCAGGCUCUUUCAGCAAGUUGUUAAAAAUAUGGAAGUUUGAGGUGCAAAGAGUACAGCCUUGUGAUGCUUUUUUUGUUUGAAAUUAAAUCAUCAAGGGAAGUUUGAAAGCAGGUUAUUGCACUUGAAUAAUGCACCAAGCAGUUUUGACAGAAAAAUUCUCCACGAAAGCAACCCUCAUGAGGGCACAUAGUCCCUGAAGCCCUUGGACCAGCUGUGCCAAAGGGAGGAUCCAUGUCCAGGCCACUAAAUACUCACAUGAAGCAGCAAUCAGUGCCCUUUUCCACUUUGCAUGUAGCAGUGACAAUGUCAUUCUUUCCCAGAGAAAAAACUGAGUCAUCUCUUCCAGUUGUGGGUGGCAAACUGCUGUUUGUUGAAUUUCCAUAUUAUGGAUGAUCUCAGUGCAUUAUUAGUUCAUAAGUGCUCACAUAACUCGUUAUAUUCACACAUUUUGCAGUGAGCUGACUAGCAUAAAUAAUCCUGAUUGUAAAUGUUUCUGUUUCAGCUUCACUCUGGUCUGUGAGAAUGCCCAAGAAGUCAAGACACUACCAUGCACCUGGAAACACUGCAGCAUACACAGGGAAGUGGAAGUACUUAAAAGCAAAUCAGAAAGACUGGUCUGCUGCCACUGACUGCUGAGAACACAGGAGGGUGAAGGAAGACAAAACUCCAGCUAGAUAGUGCAUAAUUCUGACUGCUGAAAGAAAUACAUCCUGAGGGCUGAAAUCAGAGGUGGCAUAAAGAGGAAAAGAAAUCAAGCAGACAAGGCUGGAAAGCAGACAGAUGACUAUCUGGCAGUGUUUCUUGAGAAGCAUAUCCUAGAGAGCAACAACAAUCUAGUUCUUUACUGGAAUGAGAAGACAGGAAAAAAAAUAAUUAUUAUUUUUCUGGCUGAUUGGAAGGUAUACUGGUCUUCAAAAGUCAAGACUGUAAGUAGUGUCUGUUUGCUUAUAAAUUUAAGUGAAAGAUGCUCUAAGAAGACAUCAGAACAAUCUCAGAGAGGUAAGCUCUGCAAGCCCCUGGGGAGAAUCGGGCCUGAAGGAUGAAACCAUGGACAAAAAAACAUUAAGAAUUUAAUAUGGUGACUGAACACUGAUUUCUGCUUUGGCCCCUGUAACAACGGUGUUUUUGUAAGAAAAAUCAGACAAGACCCUUGAAUGAAACUGUGUGGAUCCUCUUAGCCUGGGGCAACAAGUAUCAUUAAUUAACCUGGUGCCAAAGCAAGAAGCAAAGUAGCUGCCAGGCUGGGGACGGACAAGAACAUAGUGCUGGACUGUGGUUUUCUAUUUCUUUUCUUGAGGAAAAUAAAGACUUGUAAUCAUCUUCUCUGCCUUAGCUG